rnacentral:lncRNA from 1 species
UUUUCUCCUCAGUAGAGUCCCCAGUGGAUUCAUUUCUAUGUUUCCCCGGAAGUUCAUCCUAACCUAUGACUGAUAUUUUCUUCCCCUGUCUGAGUUUAUCCUUGAUAUGUUCAUCCUAACCGAUGACGGAUAUUCUCAUCUUUGGUAUUCUACCCAGUAGAAAGGUAGUUGUAAUCCCUAUCCUAUUCCCCAGAGAGUUAAUCCUUGAUAUGUUCAUCUUAACCGAUGACGAGUUUCCUUCUCUUUGCAGUCUUCUACCCAGUAACCGAUAGUUGUAAAU